UAAAACUUCUUUGGUCGGAUAAACUUGGUUACGUCCACGCUGCAGCUAUUAUAAAAUUAAAGGUGCUAUAAAUCAGAUUUGACAAAUCAUUUGGAAUCAAAUCAACAAAAUGCAUCGUGUCAUCAACUUUGUUUUGGUCCUCACCAUCAUUAGUCUCAUCCUCACCUCCGCUUUUGCUCCUGCCAGCGGCAGAAGCAGCAGCGGUGCCAGAGGCGGCGGCGGAAGUGGAAGCAGCGGAGGUGGUGGGAAGGGCGGACGCGCCGCUACAGGCGGCGCAUCAGGCGGCGGAAGUAACAUAGCGCGGCCGGGGCGGCCCGCAAGCAGUGGCUCAUCAUCUAUCGAUCUCGGAUUGUGGCGCUACUUGGCUUAUUACGCUUCUGCAUUAUUGAUCAUGUAUUAUUAAAGGUUUUACUUAAUUACUCGUAUUCAUUUCAUUUUAAUUACUCGUAUUCAUUACUUGAUGUCAUUACUCUUGUGCUACCUUUUAUUUCAAUAAAAGAAAUUGUAUUUUGUUACA